rnacentral:snRNA from 1 species
GGAUGUAAGGGUGAUCUGCCUGUGACAUCUGUCGCACACUGAUAUCACCCAUCUGGCUGGCUGGUAGGGUGUCCCCUUCCUCCUGCAUCACUCCAUGUGUGUCCCUCCCCAAGCUUCGCCACAUUCCCUGAUCAGAGAGAGCCAUUCUGCAGUCCAGGCUAGAAGAACAGCUGUGCACCCCUGCUGGAAUUUCCAAACAAUCGCUCAAGGUUUAAAGGGAAGCAAAAGGCUUAAAAUCCCCUACAUAAACUCUGU